rnacentral:rRNA from 1 species
GUGGAUGCCCUGGCAGUCAGAGGCGAUGAAGGACGUGCUAAUCUGCGAUAAGCGUCGGUAAGGUGAUAUGAACCGUUAUAACCGGCGAUUUCCGAAUGGGGAAACCCAGUGUGUUUCGACACACUAUCAUUAACUGAAUCCAUAGGUUAAUGAGGCGAACCGGGGGAACUGAAACAUCUAAGUACCCCGAGGAAAAGAAAUCAACCGAGAUUCCCCCAGUAGCGGCGAGCGAACGGGGAGCAGCCCAGAGUCUGAAUCAGUGUGUGUGUUAGUGGAAGCGUCUGGAAAGGCGCGCGAUACAGGGUGACAGCCCCGUACACAAAAAUGCACAUGCUGUGAGCUCGAUGAGUAGGGCGGGACACGUGGUAUCCUGUCUGAAUAUGGGGGGACCAUCCUCCAAGGCUAAAUACUCCUGACUGACCGAUAGUGAACCAGUACCGUGAGGGAAAGGCGAAAAGAACCCCGGCGAGGGGAGUGAAAAAGAACCUGAAACCGUGUACGUACAAGCAGUGGGAGCACGCUUAGGCGUGUGACUGCGUACCUUUUGUAUAAUGGGUCAGCGACUUAUAUUCUGUAGCAAGGUUAACCGAAUAGGGGAGCCGAAGGGAAACCGAGUCUUAACUGGGCGUUAAGUUGCAGGGUAUAGACCCGAAACCCGGUGAUCUAGCCAUGGGCAGGUUGAAGGUUGGGUAACACUAACUGGAGGACCGAACCGACUAAUGUUGAAAAAUUAGCGGAUGACUUGUGGCUGGGGGUGAAAGGCCAAUCAAACCGGGAGAUAGCUGGUUCUCCCCGAAAGCUAUUUAGGUAGCGCCUCGUGAACUCAUCUCCGGGGGUAGAGCACUGUUUCGGCAAGGGGGUCAUCCCGACUUACCAACCCGAUGCAAACUGCGAAUACCGGAGAAUGUUAUCACGGGAGACACACGGCGGGUGCUAACGUCCGUCGUGAAGAGGGAAACAACCCAGACCGCCAGCUAAGGUCCCAAAGUCAUGGUUAAGUGGGAAACGAUGUGGGAAGGCCCAGACAGCCAGGAUGUUGGCUUAGAAGCAGCCAUCAUUUAAAGAAAGCGUAAUAGCUCACUGGUCGAGUCGGCCUGCGCGGAAGAUGUAACGGGGCUAAACCAUGCACCGAAGCUGCGGCAGCGACGCUUAUGCGUUGUUGGGUAGGGGAGCGUUCUGUAAGCCUGUGAAGGUGUGCUGUGAGGCAUGCUGGAGGUAUCAGAAGUGCGAAUGCUGACAUAAGUAACGAUAAAGCGGGUGAAAAGCCCGCUCGCCGGAAGACCAAGGGUUCCUGUCCAACGUUAAUCGGGGCAGGGUGAGUCGACCCCUAAGGCGAGGCCGAAAGGCGUAGUCGAUGGGAAACAGGUUAAUAUUCCUGUACUUGGUGUUACUGCGAAGGGGGGACGGAGAAGGCUAUGUUGGCCGGGCGACGGUUGUCCCGGUUUAAGCGUGUAGGCUGGUUUUCCAGGCAAAUCCGGAAAAUCAAGGCUGAGGCGUGAUGACGAGGCACUACGGUGCUGAAGCAACAAAUGCCCUGCUUCCAGGAAAAGCCUCUAAGCAUCAGGUAACAUCAAAUCGUACCCCAAACCGACACAGGUGGUCAGGUAGAGAAUACCAAGGCGCUUGAGAGAACUCGGGUGAAGGAACUAGGCAAAAUGGUGCCGUAACUUCGGGAGAAGGCACGCUGAUAUGUAGGUGAAGUCCCUUGCGGAUGGAGCUGAAAUCAGUCGAAGAUACCAGCUGGCUGCAACUGUUUAUUAAAAACACAGCACUGUGCAAACACGAAAGUGGACGUAUACGGUGUGACGCCUG